rnacentral:tRNA from 1 species
CGGGACGUGGCGUAGUCCGGUAGCGCACUUGACUGGGGGUCAAGGGGUCGACAGUUCAAAUCUGUCCGUUCCGACCA